rnacentral:rRNA from 1 species
GACGAACGCUGGCGGCGUGCCUAAUACAUGCAAGUUGAGCGCUGAAGGUUGGUCCUUGUACCAACUGGAUGAGCAGCGAACGGGUGAGUAACGCGUGGGGAAUCUGCCUUUGAGCGGGGGACAACAUUUGGAAACGAAUGCUAAUACCGCAUAAAAACUUUAAACACAAGUUUUAAGUUUGAAAGAUGCAAUUGCAUCACUCAAAGAUGAUCCCGCGUUGUAUUAGCUAGUUGGUGAGGUAAAGGCUCACCAAGGCGAUGAUACAUAGCCGACCUGAGAGGGUGAUCGGCCACAUUGGGACUGAGACACGGCCCAAACUCCUACGGGAGGCAGCAGUAGGGAAUCUUCGGCAAUGGACGAAAGUCUGACCGAGCAACGCCGCGUGAGUGAAGAAGGUUUUCGGAUCGUAAAACUCUGUUGGUAGAGAAGAACGUUGGUGAGAGUGGGAAGCUCAUCAAGUGACGGUAACUACCCAGAAAGGGACGGCUAACUACGU